GAUGAACGCUGGCGGCGUGCCUAAUACAUGCGAGUCGAGCGAACGGACGAGAAGCUUGCUUCUCUGAUGUUAGCGGCGGUCGGGUGAGUAACACGUGGAUAACCUACCUAUAAGACUGGGAUAACUUCGGGAAACCGGAGCUAAUACCGGAUAAUAUUUUGAACCGCAUGGUUCAAAAGUGAAAGACGGUCUUGCUGUCACUUAUAGAUGGAUCCGCGCUGCAUUAGCUAGUUGGUAAGGUAACGGCUUACCAAGGCAACGAUGCAUAGCCGACCUGAGAGGGUGAUCGGCCACACUGGAACUGAGACACGGUCCAGACUCCUACGGGAGGCAGCAGUAGGGAAUCUUCCGCAAUGGGCGAAAGCCUGACGGAGCAACGCCGCGUGAGUGAUGAAGGUCUUCGGAUCGUAAAACUCUGUUAUUAGGGAAGAACAUAUGUGUAAGUAACUGUGCACAUCUUGACGGUACCUAAUCAGAAAGCCACGGCUAACUACGUG
rnacentral:rRNA from 1 species